UUGAACGCUGGCGGAAUGCUUUACACAUGCAAGUCGAGCGGCAGCGCGGGGGCAACCCUGGCGGCGAGCGGCGAACGGGUGAGUAAUGUAUCGGAACGUACCCUGUCGUGGGGGAUAACACAGCGAAAGCUGUGCUAAUACCGCAUACGACCUGAGGGUGAAAGCGGGGGAUCGCAAGACCUCGCGCGAUAGGAGCGGCCGAUAUCGGAUUAGCUAGUUGGUGAGGUAAAGGCUCACCAAGGCGACGAUCCGUAGCGGGUCUGAGAGGACGACCAGCCACACUGGAACUGAGACACGGUCCAGACUCCUACGGGAGGCAGCAGUGGGGAAUUUUGGACAAUGGGGGCAAGCCUGAUCCAGCCAUUCCGCGUGAGUGAAGAAGGCCUUCGGGUUGUAAAGCUCUUUCAGCAGGGACGAAACGGUGGUCCCUAAUACGGGCUACUGAUGACGGUACCUGAAGAAGAAGCACCGGCUAACUACGU
rnacentral:rRNA from 1 species